UACAGAGGUCUCAAGCGUUGUUCGGAAUCACUGGGCGUAAAGGGUGCGUAGGCCGCGAAGCAAGUCAGAUGUGAAAUCCCGGGGCUCAACCUCGGAAUUGCAUCCGAUACUGCAUCGCUUGAGGACUGGAGAGGAGUCUGGAAUUCAUGGUGGAGCAGUGAAAUGCGUAGAUAUCAUGAGGAACACUAGUGGCGUAGGCGAGACUCUGGACAGUUCCUGACGCUGAGGCACGAAGGCCAGGGGAGCAAACGGG
rnacentral:rRNA from 1 species